rnacentral:SRP_RNA from 1 species
GCGGGCACGGUGGCACGUGUCUAUAGUCCCAGCUACUCGGGAGGCUGAGGUGGGAGGAUCGCUUGAGUACAGGAGUUCUGGGCUGUAGUGUGCUAUGCCAAUCGGGUGUCUGCACUAAGUUCAGCAUCAACGUGGUGACCUCCUGGGAGCGGGAGACCACCAGGUUGCCUAAGGAGGGGUGAAUCGGCCCAGGUGGGAAACGGAGCAGGUCAAAACUCCUGUGCUGAUCAGUAGUGGAAUCGCUCCUGUGAAUAGCCACUGCACUCCAGCCUGGGCAGCAUAAUGAGACCCCAUCUCU